rnacentral:rRNA from 1 species
GUAGGUGGCAAGCGUUGUCCGGAUUUACUGGGCGUAAAGAGCGCGCAGGCGGUCGUGCAAGUCGCGUGUGAAAGCCCCCGGCUCAACUGGGGAGGGUCACGCGAUACUGCUCGACUCGAAGGCAGGAGAGGGAAGUGGAAUUCCCGGUGUAGUGGUGAAAUGCGUAGAUAUCAGGAAGAACACCCGUGGCGAAAGCGGCUCUCUGGAACGGUACUGACGCUGAGACGCGAAAGCGUGGGGAGCGAACAGGAUUAGAUACCCUGGUAGUCCACGCCGUAAACGAUGGGCGCUAGGUGUGGGAGGUGUCGACUCCUUCCGUGCCGCAGCUAACGCAUUAAGCGCCCCGCCUGGGGAGUACGGCCGCAAGGCUA